rnacentral:lncRNA from 1 species
UUUCCUAAAUGUCCAUUUCAAUAUUUCUGUUAAUGUUAAUGAUAAACUUUUACCUCAGUUGUGACAUUUAAAGCCAAAGUAAAGUAAUCCUGGGACUGUGGAUUUUUGUAGGCUUCCAAAAAUUGUCGAUUCAUCCGGAACUGUAGAAUAAGUACACCUUCAUUUGACGUUGGAGGGUCAGUGGAUGCGGUGGUUGGGGAAACAGUAGUUGUUGGAGCAAGAGUUUUUGUUGUUGAUGGUGAAGCUGUGGUCGUUGUGGGAGCGGCAUUGGUAGUUGUAGGGGCAAUGGUGGUUGUUGUGGAGUUAGAUGUAGUUGUGGUAGCGCCAGCUGUGCUGGUAGUUACAGCAGCUGUUGUCCUUGUGGCAAAAGCUGCUGUUGUUGUUGUGGUGGCAGUUGUAGUUGUAGUGGGAACAACUAUUGUUAUUGUAGCAGCAGCUGUAGUUGAUGUGGGGGCAGCUCUAAUUGUUGAGUGAGCCACUGUUGUUGUGGGAGCAGGAGCUGAAGUUGUUGUUGCUGCUGCGGUUGUUGUGGUUGCGGCAGUGGUUAAAGUGGGAUAAGCUGUGAUUGUUGUGGCAGCUGCUGUGGUUAUUGUGGUAGCAGCUGGGGUUGUUUUGGGGGUGACAUUGGUGGUCGUUGCAGCAACUGUGGUUGUCGACGGGUAAGCUGGGGUUGUAGUGGCAGCCGCUGUUGUUGACAUUGGUACUGCUGUGGUUGAAGUUGGUACUGCUGUGGUUGUUAAAUGGGCAGCUGUGGUUGUUGUUGGAGCAACUGUAGUUGUUGUGGGGUUGGCUGUUGUUGUCAUAGCACCAGCUGUGGAUGUUGUAAGGGAAGCUGUUGUGGUUGUGGUUGCUGUAGUUUUGGGAUAAGUUGUUGUUGUUGUGGGAGAAGUUGUGGUUGUUGUGGUCGAAGCUGUUGUUGUUGUGAUAGAAGCUGUUGUUGUAGCAGCAGCUGUGAUUGUGGUUGGAGCAGGUGUGGUUGUUGUGGGUGCAGCUGUACUUGUUGUAGCUGCAGCUAUUGUGGUUGUUCUGAGAGCGUCUGUGGUUGAUGUGGACAGGGCUUCGAAUGUUGUAGCCUCUGUGGUUGUUGUGGGAGCAGAUAUGGUCGUUGUUGGAGUAGAUGGUGUGGUGGGAGAAGCUGUGGUUGUUGUGGGUGCAGCUGUGGUAGAUGUGGGGUAAGCUGUGGUUGUUGUGGGAGUAGAUGUUGUGGUGGGAGAAGCUGUGUUUGUGGAUGCAGCUGUGAUUGUUGUUGCCACAACUGUGCUUGUUGAAGCUGUAGAUGUUAUUGGUGUUGCUGUUGACAUUGUGGGAACAGCUGUGAUUCUUGUGGGAGAUGCUGUGGAUGUUGUGGGAGCCGCUGUGGUAGUUGUGGGGUAAGCUGUGGUUGUUGUGGGAGUAGAUGUUGUGGUGGGAGAAGCUGUGUUUGCGGAUGCAGCUGUGAUUGUUGUUGCCACAGCUGUGCUUGUUGAAGCUGUAGAUGGUAUUGGUGUUGCUGUUGACAUUGUGGGAACAGCUGUGGUUGUUGUAAGUGAAUCUGUUGUGGUUGUGGGAGAAGUUGUGGUUGUCUUGGGUUUAGUUGUGGUUGUGGUAGGGCCAGCAGUGGUUACAUCAGCUGUUGUUAUUGCUAUGGGAGCUGUUGUAGUGGGAGCCGCUGUGGUUGUAGUGGGAGCCGCUGUGGUUAUAGUGGGAGCCGCUGUGGUUGUAGUGGGAGCCGCUGUGGUUUUAGUGGGAGCCGCUAUGGUUGUAGUGGGAGCCACUAUGGUUGUAGUGGGAGCCAUUGUGGUUGUAGUGGGAGCAGCUGUGGUAGUAGUGGGAGAAUCUAUUGUUAUGCUAGCAGUUGUGGUUGUUGUGGGAGAAGCUGAGUAUGUUGUGAGCGUAGCUGUGGUUGUUGUUGCCUCAGCUUUUGUUGUAGCAGCAACUGUGGUUGUUGUGGGAGUAGAUGUGGUCGUCGUUGGAGUAGAUGGUGUGGUGGGAGAAGCUGUGUUUGCGGAUGCAGCUGUGAUUGUUGUUGCCACAGCUGUGGUUGUUGAAGCUGUAGAUGUUAUUGGUGUUGCUGUUGCCAUUGUGGGAACAGCUGUGGUUGUUGUAAGGGAACCUGUUGUGGUUGUGGGAGAAGUUGUGGUGGUUUUGGGGUUAGCUGUGGUUAUGAUAGGGCCAGCAGUGGUGGUUGUUACAUCAGCUGUUGUUAUUGCUAUGGGAGCUGUUGUAGUGGGAGCCGCUGUGGUUGUAGCGGGAGCCGCUGUGGUUGUAGUGGGAGCAGCUGUGGUUGUAGUGGGAGCCACUAUGGUUGAAGUGGGAGCCCCUGUGGUUGUAGUGGGAGCCGCUGUGGUUGUAGUGGGUGCUGCUGUACUUGUUGUAGCUGCAGCUGUGGAUGUAGUGGGAGCAGCUGUGGUUGUUGUGGUAAAAUCUGUGGUUGUUGUGGUCAAAACUGUUGUUGUUGUGAUCGAAGCUGUUGUUGUAGCUGCAGCUGUGAUUGUGGUUGGAGUGGGUGUUGUUGUUGUGGUUGCAGAUGUACUUGUUGUAGCUGCAGCUGUGGUUGUAUUGGGGGAAGCUGUGGUUGAAGUAAGGGAAACUGUUGUGGUUGUGGGAGCAGCUGUAGUUGUUGUAACAUCAGCAGGGGUUGUUGUAGGAGACGCUGUGGUUGUUGUAACAUCAGGUGUUGUUGUUGUGGGAGCCACUGUGGUUGUUGUGGGAGUCGCUGCGGUUGAUGUGGGAGCCGCUGUGGUUGUUGUGGUAGAAGCUGUGGUUGUUGUGAUAGAAGCUGUUGUUGUAGCAGCAUCUGUAAUUGUGGUUGGAGCAGGUGUGGUUGUUGUGGGUGCAGCUGUACUUGUUGUAGCUGCAGCUGUGGUUGUUGUGGGUGCAGCUGUGGUUGCAUUGGGGGAAGCUGUGGUUGUAGUAAGGGAAACUGUUGUGGUUGUGGGAGCUGCUGUAGUUAUGGGAGAAGUUGUGGUUUUUGUGGGUGCAAUUGUGGUUGUUCUGAGAGUGUCUGUGGUUGAUGUGGACAGGGCUUCAAAUGUUGUAGCCUCAGCUUUUGUUGUAGUAGCAACUGUGGUCGUUGUUGGAGUAGAUGUUGUGGUGGGAGAAGCUGUGUUUGUGGAUGCAGCUGUGAUUGUUGAAUCCACAGCUGUGCUUGUUGAAGCUGUAGAUGUUAUUGGUGAUGUUGUUGACAUUGUGGGAUCAGUUGUGGUUGUUGUAAGGGAAGCUGUUGUGGUUGUGGGAGAAGUUGUGGUUGUUUUGGGGUUAGCUGUAGUUGUGGUAGGGGCAGCAGUGGUGGUUGUUACAUCAGCUUUUGUUGUUGCUAUGGGAGCUGUUGCAGUGGGAGCCGCUGUGGUUGUUGUGGGAGUCGCUGUGGUUGUUGUGGGAGCCGCUGUUGUUGUUGUAACACCAGCUGUGGUUGUUGUGGGAGACGCUGUGGUUGUUGUGGGAUCCACUGUGGUUGAUGUGGGGUAAGCUGUGGUUGUUGUGGGAGCAGCUUUGGUCGUUGUGGUCGAAGCUGUUAUUGAUGUAUUAGAAGCUGUUGUUGUAGCAGCAGCUGGGAUUGUGGUUGGAGCAAGUGUGGCUGUUGUGGGUGCAGCUGUACUUGUAGCUGCAGCUGUGGUUGUUUUGGGGGAAGCUGUGUUUAAAGUAAGGGAAGCUGAUGUGUUUGUGGGAGCAGCUGUAGUUAUGGGAGCAGCUGUGGUUUUUAUGGGUGCAUCUGUGGUUGUUGUGGGAGCUGCUGUGGUUGAUGUGGACAGGGCUUCGAAUGUUGUAGCCUCAGCUUUUUUUGUAGCAGCAACUGUGGUUGUUGUGGGAGCAGAUGUGGUCGUUGUUGGAGUAGAUGUUGUGGUGGGAGAAGCUGUGGUUGUUGUGGGUGCAGCUGUGAUUGCUGUAGCCACAGCUGUGCUCAUUGAAGCCACAUCCGUAGACAUCAUUGGUGCUGCUGUGAUCGUUGUCGGACCAGCUGUAGAUGUUGUAAGGGAAGCUGUUGUGGUUGUGUGGGAUGCUGUAGUUUUGGGAUAAGUUGUGGUUGUUGGGGGAGCAGCAGUGGUUGUUGUGGGAGACACUGUGGUUGUUGUACCAUCAGCUGUGGUUGUUGUGGGAGCCGCUGUGGUUGUUGUGGGAGUCGCUGUGGUUGUUGUGGGAGCUGCUGUGGUUGAUCUGGACAGGGCUUCGAAUGUUGUAGCCUCAGCUUUUGUUUUAGCAGCAACUGUGGUUGUUGUGGGAGCAGAUGUGGUCAUUGUUGGAGUAGAUGUUGUGGUGGGAGCCGUUUUGGUUGUUGUGGGAGCUGCUGUGGUUGAUGUGGAGAGGGCUUCGAAUGUUGUAGCCUCAGAUUUUGAUGUAGCAGCAACUGUGGUUGUUGUGGGAGCAGAUGUGGUCACUGUUGGAGUAGAUGUUGUGGUGGGAGAAGCUGUGGUUGUUGCGGGUGCAGCUGUGACUAUUGUGGGACACACUGUGGUUGUUGUAACAUCAGCUGUGGUUGUUGUGGGAGCUGCAUUGGUUGUUGUAACAUCAGCAGUGGUUGUUGUUGGAGCAGCUGUGGUUGUUGUGGGAGACGCUGUGGUUGUUGUAAAAUCAGCUGUGGUUGUUGUGGGAACAGAUGUGGUUGUUGUGGGAGACGCUGUGGUUGUUGUAACAUCAACAGUGGUUGUUGUUGGAGCAGCUGUGGUUGUUGUGGGAGAUGAUGUGGUUGUUGUUACAUCAGCUGUGGUUGUUGUGGGAGCCGCUGUGGUUGUUGUGGGAGCUGUUGUGGUUGAUGUGGACAGGGCUUCGAAUGUUGUAGCCUCAGCUUUUUUUGUAGCAGCAACUGUGGUUGUUGUGGGAGCAGAUGUGAUUGUUGAUGGAGUGGUGGGAGAAGUUAUGGUUGUUGUGGGUGCAGCUGUGAUUGCUGUAGCCACAGUUGUGCUCAUUGAUGCCGCAUCCGUAGACAUCAUUGGUGCUGCUGUGAUCGUUGUCGGACCAGCUGAUGAUGUUGUAAGGGAAGCUGUUGUAGUUGUGGGAGAUGCUGUAGUUUUGGGAUAAGUUGUGGUUGUUGUUGGAGCAGCUGUGGUCGUUGUGGGAGCAGCUGUGGUGGUUGUAACAUCAGCUGUGGUUGUUGUGGGAGCAGCUGUGGUUGUUGUGGGAGAUGCUGUGGUUGUUGUAACAUAAGCUGUGGUUGUUGUGGGAGCCGCUGUGGUUGUUGUGGGAGCCGCUGUGGUUGUUGUGGGAGCUGCUGUGGUUGAUGUGGACAGGGCUUCGAAUGUUGUAGCCUCAGAUUUUGUUGUAGCAGCAACUGUGGUUGUUGUUGGAGCAGAUGUGGUCACUGUUGGAGUAGAUGUUGUGGUGGGAGAAGCUGUGGUUGUUGUGGGUGCAGCCGUGAUUGCUGUAGCCACAGCUGUGCUCGUUGAAGCCACAUCCGUAGACAUCAUUGGUGCUGCUGUGACUGUUGUCGGACCAGCUGUUGAUGUUGUAAGGGAAGCUGUUGUGGUUGUGUGGAAUGCUGUAGUUUUGGGAUAGGUUGUGGUUGUUGGGGGAGCAGCAGUGGUUGUUGUGGGAGACACUGUGGUUGUUGUAACAUCAGCUGUGGUUGUUGUGGGAGCCACUGUGGUUGUUGUGGGAGCUGUUGUGGUUGAUCUGGACAGGGCUUCGAAUGUUGUAGCCUCAGCUUUUGUUGUAGCAGCAACUGUGGUUGUUGUGGGAGCAGAUGUGGUCGUUGUUGGAGUAGAUGUUGUGGUGGGAGAAGCUGUGGUUGUUGUGGCCGAAUUUGUUGUGAUAGAAGCUGUUGUUGUAGCAGCAUCUGUAACUGUGGUUGGAGCAGGUGUGGUUGUUGUGGGUGCAGCUGUACUUGUUGUAGCUGCAGCUGUGGUUGAAUUGGGGGAAGCUGCGGUUGUAGUAAGGGAAACUGUUGUGAGAUCUUCUUUAGUUAUGGGAGCAUUUGUGGUUUUUGUGGGUGCAAUUGUGGUUGUUGUGAGAGCUGCUGUGGUUGAUGUGGACAGGAUUUCGAAUGUUGUAGCCUCAGCUUUUGUUGUAGCAGCCACUGUGGUUGUUGUAGGUGCAGAUGUGGUAGUUGUUGGAGUAGAUGUUGUGGUGGGAGAAGCUGUGGUUGUUGUGGGUGCAGCUGUGACUGCUGUAGCCACAGCUGUGCUCGUUGAAGCCGCAUCCGUAGACAUCAUUGGUGCUGCUGUGAUCGUUGUCCAACCAGCUGUUGAUGUUGUAAAGGAAGCUGUUGUGGUUGUGGGAGAUGCUGUAGUUUUGGGAUAAGUUGUGGUUGUUGUGGGAGCAGCUGUGGUUGCUGUGGGAGACACUGUGGUUGUUGUGGGAGACGCUGUGGUUGUUGUUGGAGCAGCUGUGGUUGUUGUGGGAGACGCUGUGGUUGUUGUAACAUAAGCUGUGGUUGUUGUGGGAGCCGCUGUGGUUGUUGUGGGAGCCGCUGUGGUUGUUGUGGGAGCUGCUGUGGUUGAUGUGGAGAGGGCUUCGAAUGUUGUAGCCUCAGAUUUUGUUGUAGCAGCAACUGUGGUUGUUGUGGGAGCAGAUGUGGUCACUGUUGGAGUAGAUGUUGUGGUGGGAGAAGCUGUGGUUGUUGUGGGUGCAGCUGUGAUUAUUGUGGGAGACACUGUGGUUGUUGUAACAUCAGCUGUGGUUGUUGUGGGAGCUGCAUUGGUUGUUGUAACAUCAGCAGUGGUUGUUGUUGGAGCAGCUGUGGUUGUUGUGGGAGACGCUGUGGUUGUUGUAAAAUCAGCUGUUGUGGUUGUGGGAGAUGCUGUAGUUUUGGGAUAAGUUGUGGUUGUUGUUGGAGCAGCUGUGGUCGUUGUGGGAGACACUGUGGUUGUUGUAACAUCAGCUGUGGUUGUUGUGGGAGCAGCUGUGGUUGUUAUGGGAGAUGCUGUGGUUGUUGUAACAUCAGCAGUGGUUGUUGUGGGAGACGCUGUGGUUGUUGUAACAUCAGCAGUGGUUGUUGUUGGAGCAGCUGUGGUUGUUGUGGGAGACGCUGUGGUUGUUGUAAAAUCAGCUGUUGUGGUUGUGGGAGAUGCUGUAGUUUUGGGAUAAGUUGUGGUUGUUGUUGGAGCAGCUGUGGUCGUUGUGGGAGACACUGUGGUUGUUGUAACAUCAGCUGUGGUUGUUGUGGGAGCAGCUGUGGUUGUUAUGGGAGAUGCUGUGGUUGUUGUAACAUCAGCAGUGGUUGUUGUGGGAGACGCUGUGGUUGUUGUGGGAGCUGCUGUGGUUGAUGUGGACAGGGCUUCGAAUGUUGUAGCCUCAGCUUUUGUUGUAGCAGCAAUUGUGGUUGUUGUAAGGGAAGCAGUUGUGGUUGUGGGAGAAGUUGUGGUUGUUUUGGGGUUAGCUGUGGUUGUGGUAGGGCCAGCAGUGGUGGUUGUUACAUCAGCUGUUGUUAUUGCUAUGGGAUCUGUUGUAGUGGGAGCAGCUGUGGUUGUAGUGGGAGCUGCUGUUGUUGUAGUGAGAGCCACUGUGGUUGUAGUGGGAGCCGCUGUGGUUGUAGUGGGAGCCGCUGUGGUUGUAGUGGGAGCCGCUGUGGUUGUAGUGGGAGACGUUGUGAUUGAAGUGGGAGCCACUGUUGUUGUAGUGGGAGCCGCUGUGAUUGUAGUGGAUGCCGCAGUGGUUGUAUUGGGAGCCGCUGUGGUUGUAGUGGGAACCGCUGUGGUCGUAGUGGGAUCCGCUGUGGUUGUUGUGGGAGCAGCUGUGGUUCUUGUGGGAGAUGCUGUGUUUGUUGUGGGAGCCACUGUGAUUGUUGUGGGAUCCGCUGUGGUUGUUGUGGGAGCAGCUGUGGUUCUUGUGGGAGAUGCUGUGUUUGUUGUGGGAGCCGCUGUGAUUGCUGUGGGAGUCGCUGUGGAUGUUGUGGGAGCCGCUGUGGCUUUAGUGGCAGCCGCUGUGGUUGUAGUGGGAGACGCUGUGGUUGUAGUGGGAGCCGCUGUGGUUGUAGUGGGAGCCACUGUGGUUGUAGUGGGAGCCGCUGUGGUUGUAGUGGGAGCCACUGUGGUUGUAGUGGGACCCGCUGAAGUUGUUGUGUUAAAAGCUGUGGUUGUUGUGGUCGAAGCUGUUGUUGUUGUGAUAGAAGCUGUUGUUGUAGCAGCAGCUGUGAUUGUGGUUGGAGCAGGUGUGGUUGUUGUGGGUGCAGCUGUACUUGUUGUAGCUGCAACUGUGGUUGUAGUGGGAGCAGCUGUGAUUAUUGUGGGAGACACUGUGGUUGUUGUAACAUCAGCUGUGGUUGUUGUGGGAGCUGCAUUGGUUGUUGUAACAUCAGCAGUGGUUGUUUUUGGAGCAGCUGUGGUUGUUGUGGGAGACGCUGUGGUUGUUGUAACAUCAGCUGUGGUUGUUGUGGGAGCAGCUGUGGUUGUUGUGGGAGUUGCUGUGGUUGUUGUAACAUCAGCUGUGGUUGUUGUGGGAGCCGCUGUGGUUGUUGUGAGAGCUGCUGUGGUUGAUGUAGACAGGGCUUUGAAUGUUGUAGCCUCAGAUUUUGUUGUAGCAGCAACUGUGGUUGUUGUGGGAGCAGAUGUGGUCACUGUUGGAGUAGAUGUUGUGGUGGGAGAAGCUGUGGUUGUUGUGGGUGCAGCUGUGACUGCUGUAGCCACAGCUGUGCUCGUUGAAGCCGCAUCCGUAGACAUCAUUGGUGCUGCUGUGAUAGUUGUCGGACCAGCUGUUGAUGUUGUAAGGGAAGCUGUUGUGGUUGUGGGAGAUGCUGUAGUUUUGGGAUAAGUUGUGGUUGUUGUUGGAGCAGAUGUGGUCGUUGUGGGAGACACUGUGGUUGUUGUAACAUCAGCUGUGGUUGUUGUUGGAGCAGCUGUGGUUGUUGUGGGAGACGCUGUGGUUGUUGUAACAUCAGCUGUGGUUGUUGUGGGAGCAGCUGUGGUUGUUGUGGGAGUUGCUGUGGUUGUUGUAACAUCAGCUGUGGUUGUUGUGGGAGCCGCUGUGGUUGUUGUGAGAGCUGCUGUGGUUGAUGUAGACAGGGCUUUGAAUGUUGUAGAGUCAGAUUUUGUUGUAGCAGCAACUGUGGUUGUUGUGGGAGCAGAUGUGGUCACUGUUGGAGUAGAUGUUGUGGUGGGAGAAGUUGUGGUUGUUGUGGGUGCAGCUGUGAUUGCUGUAGCCACAGUUGUGCUCAUUGAAGCCGCAUCCGUAGACAUCAUUGGUGCUGCUGUGAUCGCUGUCGGACCAGCUGCUGAUGUAAGGAAAGCUGUUGUGGUUGUUGUUGGAGCAGCUGUGGUCGUUGUGGGAGCAGCUGUGGUUGUUGUAACAUCAGCUGUGGUUGUUGUGGGAGCAGCUGUGGUUGUUAUGGGAGACGCUGUGGUUGUUGUAACAUCAGCAGUGGUUGUUGUGGGAGCCGCUGUGGUUGUUGUGGGAGACGCUGUGGUUGUUGUGGGAGCUGCUGUGGUUGAUGUGGACAGGGCUUCGAAUGUUGUAGCCUCAGCUUUUGUUGUAGCAGCAAUUGUGGUUGUUGUAAGGGAAGCUGUUGUGGUUGUGGGAAAAGUUGUGGUUGUUUUGGGGUUAGCUGUGGUUGUGGUAGGGCCAGCAGUGGUGGUUGUUACAUCAGCUGUUGUUAUUGCUAUGGGAUCUGUUGUAGUGGGAGCAGCUGUGGUUGUAGUGGGAGCUGCUGUUGUUGUAGUGGGAGCCGCUGUGGUUGUAGUGGGACCCGCUGUGGUUGUAGUGGGAGCCGCUGUGGUUGUAGUGGGAGACGUUGUGGUUGAAGUGGGAGCCACUGUGGUUGUAGUGGGAGACGCUGUGUUUGUUGUGGGAGCCGCUGUGAUUGUUGUGGGAGUCGCUGUGGAUGUUGUGGGAGCUGCUGUGGUAGUUGUGGGGUAAGCUGUGGUUGUUGUGGGAGUAGAUGUUGUGGUGGGAGAAGCUGUGUUUAUUGAUGCAGCUGUGAUUAUUGUAGCCACAGCUGUGCUUGUUGAAACUGUAGAUGGUAUUGGUGUUGCUGUUGACAUUGUGGGAUCAGUUGUGGUUGUUGUAAGUGAAUCUGUUGUGGUUGUGGGAGAAGUUGUGGUGGUUUUGGGUUUAGUUGUGGUUGUGGUAGGGCCAGCAGUGCUGGUUGUUACAUCAGCUUUUGAUGUUGCUGAGGGAGCUGUUGUAGUGGGAGCCGCUGUGGAUUUAGUGGGAGCCGCUGUGGUUGUAGUGGGAGCCGCUGUGGUUGUAGUGGGAGCCACUGUGGUUGUAGUGGGAGCCACUGUGGUUGUAGUGGGAGCGACUGUGGUUGUAGUGGGAGCCACUGUGGUUGUAGUGGGACCCGCUGAAGUUGUUGUGGUAGAAGCUGUGGUUGUUGUCGUCGAAGCUGUUGUUGUUGUGAUAGAAGCUGUUGUUGUUGCAACAGCUGUGAUUAUGGUUGGAACAGGUGUGGUUGUUGUGGGUGCAGCUGUGGUUGUAUUGGGGGAAGCUGUGGUUGUAGUAAGGGAAACUGUUGUGGUUGUGGGAGCAGCUGUAGUUGUGGGAGCCGCUGUGGUUUUUGUGGGUGCAGCUGUGGUUGUUGUGGGAGCUGCUGUAGUUGAUGUGGACAGGGCUUCGAAUGUUGUAGCCUCAGCUUUUGUUGCAGCAGCAACUGUGGUUGUUGUGGGAGAAGAUGUGGUCGUUGUUGGAGUAGAUGUUGUGGUGGGAGAAGCUGUGGAUAUUGUGGCCGAAGCUGUUGUGAUAGAAGCUGUUGUUGUAGCAGCAUCUGUUAUUGCGGUUGGAGAAGGUGUGGUUGUUGUGGGUGCAGCUGUACUUGUUGUAGCUGCAGCUGUGGUUGUAUUGGGGGAAGCUGUGGUUGUUGUAAGGGAAGCUGUUGUGGUUGUGGGAGAGGUUGUGGUUGUUUUGGGAGCCGCCGAGGAUGUUGUCGGGUAAGAUGUGGUUGUUGUGGGAGCAGCUGUGGUUGUUGUGGGUGCAUCUGUGGUUGUUGUGUGUGCAUCUGUCGUUGUUGUGGGGAUGGCUGUGGUUGUCAGAGCUGCUGUAGGUGUUGUAGGAAUAGAUGUGGUUGUUGUGGGUGCUUCUGUGGUUGUUGUGGGUGCAGCUGUGGUUGUUAUGGCUGAAGCUGUGGUUGUUGUGGGGAUAGCUGUUGUUGUUGUGGGGAUGGCGGUGGUUUUCUGAGCUGCUGUAGUUGUUGCCGGAGAAGAUGUGGCUGUUGUGGGUGCAUUUGUGGUUGUUGUGUGUGCUUCUGUGGUUGUUGUGGGUGCAGCUGUGGUUGUUGUGGGUGCAGCUGUGGUUGAUGUGGGGCUGGCAGUGGUGGUGGUAGAGGAAGCUGUUGUGGAUGUUGUAGUUGUUGUCAGAGAAGAUGUGGUUGGUGUGUGUGCAUGUGUGGUUGUUGUGGGAGCAGCUGUGGUUGUUGUCGGGAAGGCUGUGUUUGUAGUAGCUGCAGCUAUUGUUGAUAGUGGUACAGUUGUUGUUGUUGUGGGAGCAGCUGUGGUUAUUGUGGGAUUAGCUUUGGUUGUUGUUGUAGAAGAUGUGGUUGUUAUGGCUGAAGCUGUGGUUGUUGUGGGGCUGGCUGUGGUUUUUGUGGGGAUGGCUGUGGUUGUCGCAGAUGCUGUAGUUGUUGCCGGAGAAGAUGUGGUUGUUGUGGGUGCAUCUGUGGUUGUUGUGGGGACGGUUGUUGCUGUCGGAGCUGCUAUAGGUGUUGUCGGAGAAGAUGUGGUUGUUGUGGGUGCUUCUGUGGUUGUUGUGGGUGAAGCUGUGGUUGUUGUGGGUGCAUCUGUUGUUGAUGUGGGGCUGGCUGUGGUGGUUGUCGUGGAAGCUUUUCUGGAUGUUGUAGAUUCUAUAGUUGUUGUCGGAGAAGAUGUGGUUGUUGUGGGUGCAUCUGUGGUUGUUGUGGGUGCAGCUGUGUUUGGUAUGGCUGAAGCUGUGGUUCUGGUGGGGAUAGCUGUGGUUGUUGUCUGAGAAAAUGUGGUUGUUGUGGGUGCAGCUGUGGUUGUUGUAGAAGAAGCUGUGGUUGUUGUAGAAGCUGUGGUGGUUGUAGAGGAAGCUGUUGUGGUCAUUGGAUUUGCUAUAACUGUUGUUGGAGAAAAUGUGGUUGUUGUGGGUGCAUCCGUUGUUGUUGUGUGUGCGUCUGUGGUUGUUGUGGAGAUGGCUGUGGUUGUCGGAGCCGCUGUAGGUGUUGUCGGAGAUGUGGAUGUUGUGGGUGCUUCUGUGGUUGUUGUGGGUGCUUCUGUGGUUAUUGUGGAAGAAGCUGUGGUUGAUGUGGGGCUGGCUGUGGUGGUUAAAGAGGAAGCUGUUGUGGAUGUUGUAGUUGCUGUAGUUGUUGUCAGAGAAGAUGUGGUUGUUGUGGGUGCAUCUGUGGUUGUUGUGGGUGCAUCUGUGGUUGUUGAGGGAUCAGCUUUGGUUGUUGUUGUAGAAGCUGUGGUGGUUGUAGAGAUGGCUGUUGUGGUCUUUGGAGCUGCUGUAGUUGUUGUCGGAGAAGAUGUGGUUGUUGUGUGUGCAUCUGUGGUUGUUGUAGGGACGGUUGUUGUUGUCGGAACUGCUGUAGGUGUUGUCGGAGACGAUGUGGUUGUUGUGGGUGCUUCUGUGGUUGAUGUGUGUGCAAAUGUGGUUGUUGUGGGUGCAGCUGUGGUUGUUGUGGGAACAGCUGUAGUUGAUGUGGGGCUGGUUGUGGUUGUUGUGGAGGAAGCCGUUGUGGUCAUUGGAGCUGCUGUAGUUGUUGUAGCAGAAGAUGUGGUUGUUGUGGGUGCAGCUGUGGUUGUUGUGGGGGAAGCUGUGGUUGUUGUGUGUGCAUCUGUGGUUGUUGUGAAGAUGGCUGUGGUUGUCGGAGCUGCUGUAGGUUUUGUCGGAGAAGAUGUGGUUGUUGUGGGUGCUUCUGUGGUUGAUGUGUGUGCAAAUGUGGUUGUUGUGGGUGCAGCUGUGGUUGUUGUGGGAACAGCUGUGGUUGAUGUGGGGGAAGCUGUGGUUGUUGUGUGUGCAUCUGUGGUUGUUGUGAAGAUGGCUGUGGUUGUCGGAGCUGCUGUAGGUGUUGUCGGAGAAGAUGUGGUUGUUGUGGGUGCUUCUGUGGUUGAUGUGUGUGGAGAUGUGGUUGAUGUGUGUGGAGAUGUGGUUGUUGUUGGUGCAGCUGUGGUUGUUGUGGGAACAGCUGUGGUUGAUGUCGGGCUGGUUGUGGUGGAUGUAGAGGAGGCUGUUGUGGAUGUUGUAGAUGCUGUUGUUGUUGUCAGAUAAGAUGUGGUUGUUGUGUGUGCAUCUGUGGUUGUUUUAGGGAUGGCUGUGGUUGUCGGAGCUGCUGUAGGUGUUGUCGGAGAAGAUGUAGUUGUUGUGGGUGCUUCUGUAGUUGUUGGGGGUGCUUCUGUGGUUGAUGUGUGUGCAGAUGUGGUUGUUGUGGGUAAAGCUGUGGUUGUUGUGGGAACAGCUGUGGUUGAUGUGGGGCUGGCUAUCGUGGUUGUAGAGGAAGGUGUUGUGGUCGUUGGAACUGCUGUAGUUGUUAUCGGAGAAGAUGUGGUUGUUGUGGGUGUAUCUGUGGUUGUUGUUGUUGCAUCUGUGGUUGUUGUGAAGAUGGCUGUGGUUCUCAGAGCUGCGGUAGGUGUUGUCAGAGAAGAUGUGGUUGUUGUGGGUGCUUCUGUGGUUGAUGUGUGAUGAGAUGUGGUUGUUGUUGGUGCAGCUGUGGUUGUUGUGGGAACAGCUGUGGUUGAUGUGGGGCUGGUUGUGAAGGAUGUAGAGGAGGCUGUUGUGGAUGUUGUAGAUGCUGUAGUUGUUGUCGGAGAAGAUGUGGUUGUUGUGUGUGCAUCUGUGGUUGUUGUGGGGAUGGUUGUGGUUGUCGGAGCUGCUGUAGGUGUUGUCGGAGAAGAUGUAGUUGUUGUGGGUGCUUCUGUGGUUGUUGUGGGUGAAGCUGUGGUUGAUGUGGGUGCAGCUCUGGUUGAUGUGGGGCUGGCUGUGGUGGUUGAAGAGGAAGCUGUUGUGGAUGUUGUAGAUGCUGUAGUUGUUGUCAGAAAAGAUGUGGUUGUUGUGGGUGCAUCUGUGGUUGUUGUGUGUCCGUCUGUGGUUGUGGGGAUGGCUGUGGUUGUCGGAGAUCCUGUAGGUGUUGUCGGAGAAGAUGUUGUUGUUGCGGCUGCUUCUGCGGUUGAUGUGUGUGCAGAUGUGGUUGUUGUGGGUGCAGCUGUGGUUGUUGUGGGAACAGCUGUGGUUGAUGUGGGGCUGGCUAUCGUGGUUGUAGAGGAAGCUGUUGUGGUCGUUGGAGCUGCUGUAGUUGUUAUCGGAGAAGAUGUGGUUGUUGUGUGUCCAUCUGUGGUUGUUGUGGGGAUGGCUGUCGUUGUCGGAACUCCUGUAUGUGUUGUUGGAGAAGAUGUGGUUGUUGUGGGUGCUUCUGUGGUUGAUGUGUGUGCAAAUGUGGUUGUUGUGGGUGUAGCUGUGGUUGUUGUGGGAACAGCUGUAGUUGAUGUGGGGCUGGUUGUGGUGGUUGUGGAGGAAGCCGUUGUGGUCAUUGGAGCUGCUGUAGUUGUUGUAGAAGAUGUGCUUUCUGUGUGUGCAUCUGUGGUUGUUGUGGGGAUGGCUAUGGUUGAUGUGGGGAUGGCUGUGGAUGUCAGAGCUGCUGUAGUUGUUGCAGCAGAAGAUGUGGUUGUUGUGGGUGCAGCUGUGGUUGUUGUGGGGGAAGCUGUGGUUGUUGUGUGUGCAUCUGUGGUUGUUGUGAAGAUGGCUGUGGUUGUCGGAGCUGCUGUAGGUGUUGUCGGAGAAGAUGUGGUUGUUGUGGGUGCUUCUGUGGUUGAUGUGUGUGAAAAUGUGGUUGUUGUGGGUGCAGCUGUGGUUGUUGUGGGAACAGCUGUGGUUGAUGUGGGGGAAGCUGUGGUUGUUGUGUGUGCAUCUGUGGUUGUUGUGAAGAUGGCUGUGGUUGUCGGAGCUGCUGUAGGUGUUGUCGGAGAAGAUGUGGUUGUUGUGGGUGCUUCUGUGGUUGAUGUGUGUGGAGAUGUGGUUGAUGUGUGUGGAGAUGUGGUUGUUGUUGGUGCAAUUGUGGUUGUUGUGGGAACAGCUGUGGUUGAUGUCGGGCUGGUUGUGGUGGAUGUAGAGGAGGCUGUUGUGGAUGUCGGAUAAGAUGUGGUUGUUGUGUGUGCAUCUGUGGUUGUUGUAGGGAUGGCUGUGGUUGUCGGAGCUGCUGUAGGUGUUGUCGGAGAAGAUGUAGUUGUUGUGGGUGCUUCUGUAGUUGUUGUGGGUGAAGGUGUGGUUGAUGUGGGUGCAGCUCUGGUUGAUGUGGGGCUGGCUGUGGUGGUUGAAGAGGAAGCUGUUGUAGAUGUUGUAGAUGCUGUAGUUGUUGUCGGAGAAGAUGUGGUUGUUGUGGUUGCAUCUGUGGUUGUUGUGGGUGCAUCUGUGGUUGUUGUUGGUGCAUCUGUGGUUGUUGUGUGUCCGUCUGUGGUUGUGGGGAUGGCUGUGGUUGUCGGAGAUGCUGUAGGUGUUGUCGGAGAAGAUGUGGUUGUUGGGGCUGCUUCUGCUGUUGAUGUGUGUGCAGAUGUGGUUGUUGUGGGUGCAGCUGUGGUUGUUGUGGAAACAGCUGUGGUUGAUGUGGGGCUGGCUAUCGUGGUUGUAGAGGAAGCUGUUGUGGUCGUUGGAGCUGCUGUAGUUGUUAUCGGAGAAGAUGUGGUUGUUGUGUGUCCAUCUGUGGUUGUUGUGGGGAUGGCUGUGGUUGUCGGAACACCUGUAGGUGUUGUUGGAGAAGAUGUGGUUGUUGUGUGUGCUUCUGUGGUUGAUGUGGAUGAAGCUGUAGUUGUCGGAGCUGCUGUAGGUGUUGUCGGAGACGAUGUGGUUGUUGUGGGUGCUUCCGUGGUUGACGUGUGUGCAAAUGUGGUUGUUGUGGGUGCAGCUGUGGUUGUUGUGGGAACAGCUGUAGUUGAUGUGGGGCUGGUUGUGGUAGUUGUGGAGGAAGCCGUUGUGGUCAUUGGAGCUGCUGUAGUUGUUGAAGAAGAUGUGUUUGCUGUGUGUGCAUCUGUGGUUGUUGUGGGGAUGGCUAUGGUUGAUGUGGGGAUGGCUGUGAAUGUCAGAGCUGCUGUAGUUGUUGCAGCAGAAGAUGUGGUUGUUGUGGGUGCAGCUGUGGUUGUUGUGGGGGAAGCUGUGGUUGUUGU